rnacentral:lncRNA from 1 species
CUUAAUAUAAUUUAAGCAAUGGACUGAAGUCCAAGAUACACAGCAAUUAUAUCUGCAAACAAUCUAUAAACAGUAUCUUCAGAUUCUGUAGUUACUAAUCUGUAGAUAAAGCCAUAAGAAUUCUUUCCUACCAGUUCUUCCUUUUUUAUCAUCUAGACUUUUUUUUCUAGAAAACUGAAUGCCUGUCAUUGAUAAAUUUUGGAGGAAACACCCAAAUUACACUUACACUAUGGAAAGAUGACAAGAAUGUGUUGACUGGAUGCUUUCCACUCACGUUUUCAUCAGCAGCCUAUGGAAAAAAAUAGCCUUUGAGGAAAAGAGGAAGGUAGAAUUCGGAUAUUUACCUGCCUGGUGUCAUUGCUAUCCUGGGUUGAAAUGCUGAGAGUGGAGGCUACAAGUGAUCUGAAUAAAAUGGAAACUGCAUUGAGGUGAUGAAACAGACCUUUCAGAUCAAGAUAGUAUUUUAACAGCCUUUUAAAAAAUAAGUGGUAAAUUUUUUCUUCCUGGAAAAAGAAGUCAAAGAUGUAACUUUACACAAUUUCUACCCUUUUUAUUGAUAUUAGGCAUUCAAUGUUUGAUGACUAAUUGAGACAUCAAGUCCCAACUAACUGGCCAGCUGUUUUGGAAGGAUAAAAACAACUUUUUCUUAGCUCUGUACAUGAUGCAGCUUGUUACUCUCCAGAUAGUGCCUUGGAUUGAAAACAAGAUCUAGACCUUUUUGAGUAUUUUAUUUCCAGCAUAAGAAAUGAUUUGGUUCCUCAUUCUUCUUUAUUGUUUACAGAAUACACUAUAAUUUUCAGAUUUAAAGUAAAAUAAGUAUGUGGAUUGUGUUUUGGUAAAGCCCUUUCUUAGCCAGCUUGACUAUUGUCUAGUACCAGACGUCGACAGCUAACAUUUCAUGAAAUCAGUGAUUUACUUUAUUAAAACAAUGAGCUUUAGCCUGAAAGUUAUUGCUGCUCUAUUAUUAACAAAAUGGUAAGUUUUUUAAAAAUUAAUUUUAAUUCAUUCUACUGAAAUUAAAAUUUCCAGUUAGAAGUGGAGUGGAUGAUAUUUAUAAUCCAAGUUUUUACAUCACAUCCAUUGAUCUACCUAUCCCUUCUUUUCACUCCAAAGAAGAGAUGAUAGAAUAAUACAUUAGAUAUACUAUAGAGAUGCAAAAUUAUAAUGUAUUUCAUUUUACUGUUGGAAUUUCUUAUUGUAACAUUGUAUGAUAACCUAAAAUGUUUACUUGUGCC